rnacentral:misc_RNA from 1 species
GUUGAGUUGGAAUUGUCGGGGUGUGGGGAACCCUUGCGUUCCACAAUUUCAAAAGGAUUAUAGCUUCCUAUUCCCCCACAAUGGUCUUCCUUAUCGAGACAAAAAAUAAACAAGCUGUAGUUUCGAAGUUUUUAAAGAAAUGUGGCUACUGGGACAUGGACUACACUGAUCCACAGGGGAUGGCCGGUGGUUUAGCAGUAGCUUGGCAGAG